GCUGUGUUUGGCAUGGGGUCCCAGUCAGUUGUGUAUUGGUAUAACACUCCACCAACGUUUAUUAGUGUUCUGGUCAACGGACAUUUGGUAGAAAAUGUGUAUGCUAUU